UAUAAAUGUAUCUCCCCCUUUCUGUUUGGGGGUCCCUGGUUGGGAAGGGAUUCCCUGUGGACCCGCCAGCAUAAUAAAGCUGUGCUCCAUCUUCCUUGAGUGUCCUCUGAGGUGAUUUCUGGAAAUUCUACAACAUAUUCUGGAGGCUCCAGCAAGAUCCCCUCAGAGAGACUGGCCCAUUGAGCCACUGUCAUUAUUGGCUGGCGGCUUGAGGCUGCAGGGCCGGCCACUGCUGGGUAGAGCACGCCCCUCUGCCCCUGCUGCCGCCUUGAUUUCAGGGAGAUGGACCUGGUGAGGAAUCUGGAUCAGCCAGAGGCGCUGGCUGUGGAUUUAGUGGCCUUUCUGGCAGAGGAGACUGAUUGCCAGAUCCUCCAGUAGGUGGAUGAUCUACUGGCAGCUGAUCACCGAGACCAGUGUUAGAGGGGGACACUGGCUUUAUCAGGCUUGCCGGAACAAGCUGUCCUGGGAGAAGGCACAGGUCUGCCAGCAACAGCUGUUUGGGAUCCAGAAAAGGUGGCAGUAAUACACUGCAGAAGACACCAGAAGGGCCAGACAAUGGAGGCCAAAGGAAACGGGCUGGUUGACCAAGUGGCCAAGGAGGCAGCUACUCAGGAAUCACAGCUCUGUGCGCUCAGGUCAACCAAUGAUGUGUCACUUGUGCUGAAAACAAUGCUGCACCACGGACUCAACUGCCUCCUGGAACACAGGGUGGAGAUUGCUGCUGACAAAGAUGCUUUGUGAAGGUAGAGAGAGAAAUGGAAUGACCACUGAGGCUCGCCCUUAAAAAACAGGGAGGAAAAUGACUUCAGCUAGGAGCCUUCUGUGACUUCUGGAGACAACCCUGCUGCUGCUAGAACAUCUAAACCAAGUGAAGACCCAGGACAACGUCUUCGUGUCACAGGCCCACUCCUAUGCGAACUUUCACAUACGAUCCAGUGCUGGGUAUGGGGAGCCCUGCGCAUGCCCAUAUCUGUAAUGGAUGGACUACCCUGGUAGAUAUCACCUUUCUGCCAGGGGGAUUUGGCUAAUUUAUGUGACUUUUUGCGUCUUUUUCAAUGGUAUGAUUACUUGACAGCCGUAUUUGUUCCAUCACUAGAGAACGACAGACAUCAUGAUGAGGGCAGAAGCUUUAACUAACUUUACCAAGCAAGCUUUAAUAGAUGAAAUGAAAGCUAUGAAGGCAUUAGAUACUGGACAAGCGCCGAUGAAAAAGGCUGUCAUUCAAAAUAGAAUGGCACUAGACACCCUAACAGCUGCCCAAGGAGGGACAUGUGCCACCGUAAAAACAGAAUGCUGUGUAUAUAUUCCUGAUCUCUCUGGUAAUGUAACUGUUGUGUUAAAUGAUAUGAGAAAUCAGGUUAGGGCAAUGUCUAAUGAUAACCUUCCUUUCUAGACUUCUGUUUUGUCUUGGAUAAAAGGGGACUGGUGGAAAAAUGUAAUACUAAUCAAAGUUAUUAUACUGCUGCUAUUAAUCUUUGGACCCUGUAUUUUUAAUUGUGUUACUCAGCUUGUUGCAUCCCGUCUAGGAGCCAGGUUCCAAGUCCACACCCCUCGGGUCCAGUAUUUGCCAAUGACUGAUGCACAUUGAGAAAGAUGAGUGUCAAGAGGGGGUGUGGAAAAAGGGAAUAGGAAGCUUGGCAAGAGCGGAGUCAUCUUGCUGCCACCAUCCUUCUUGGUGAACCUAAGGUGACCCAUACGAGAGCUCUGAGAAAAACAAAGUCAUUAGGACUUGAGAAACUCCAGGCGCCAAUUGUUCUGGAGCUAUUCAAAAAUAGCUAGAUUGUACUUGAGGUUAAUCAUUAAAGUAACAAUAUAAGACAUUCCGUACAGCUAUAUACCUUUCUGUAUCCUGCAUGUAACUAAAUGUAGCAUGUGAGACACGUAAGCAAGCACUAUAAAUGUAUAGACACGUAAGCAAGCACUAUAAAUGUAUCUCCCCCUUUCUGUUUGGGGGUCCCUGGUUGGGAAGGGAUUCCCCGUGGACCCGCCAGCAUAAUAAAGCUGUGCUCCAUCUUC